CACACCGCCCGUCACACCAUGGGAGUUGGUUCUACCUGAAGACGGUGCGCUAACCCGCAAGGGAGGCAGCUGGCCACGGUAGGGUCAGCGACUGGGGUG
rnacentral:rRNA from 1 species